CUACGGGUGGCUGCAGUUAGGAAUAAUCUACAAUGCACGAAAGUGUGAUAGUUUGAGUCAAAGUGCGUUUCAAUUUGAAAUGCUUUUAUGGAAUGUAAAAAGUUCCACGAAUAAGGACUGGGUAAGACAGGUGCCAGCCGCCGCGGUAAUACCUGCGGUCCAAGUCGCAGCCAUUUUUAUUGGGUCUAAAACAUCCGUAGCUUGCUUGGUAAGUUUCUCGUGAAAUUCCAUAUCUUAAAUAUGGAGCGGGCAGGAAGUACUGCCAAGCUAGAGACUGGGAGACGUAAGAAGUACGUUCGAAGUAGCGGUAAAAUGUGUUAAUCUCGAGCGGACUCACAACAGCGAAGGCAUCUUACGAGAACAGUUCUGACAGUAAGGGAUGAAGGCUAGGGGCGCAAAACGGAUUAGAUACCCCCGUAGUC
rnacentral:rRNA from 1 species